AUUAAACUGCAAAAUAAAAAACAAAAAUAAGUUAUUUAUAACUCUGUUUGAAAAAAUAUCCUGAAUAAAUCCAUAUGCACUCCCAUUUCCAUGUUGAAUACUAAUAACAUAUUAAAAGGUGCUGGAUAUACCUCCAACCAACACUUAUCAAGUCUUAGGAAGAUUAGCUACUGGUGAUGCAGCAAAGAAGAAGGUGAGGGAAAGGGAGCACAAACAUGACUAGUUUUUAAAGCAGUGGGAUCAUUUAAGAAUUUACCAUUGAACAGGGAAUUAAAAACACCUACAAAGGUUUAAUUCUCAACAGCUAUAUAUGGCUAACUGUAAAGAUCAAGCUGUGCACAGUUAUCUUUCCAACUCUUUCCAAGUUAUUUUUUAGAAGAAAAUUGUAUGAAGACAAGCCUCUAAAUAUUUCAAUGUGAAGUCACGAUAUUUCCUCUAUAGCUUGCACACUGAGUGGACUCAAUUCUAAAAAACUGUUCAAACUGCUCGUACAAGUUGAAGCACUUACUACUUCCCCUUACACACCGCUUUUAAUAUACUCAUUUGCUAUUCUCCAUUAAGAUGGAUAUUCUAAGUAAGCUUUAAAGACUUUUCACUUCCCCAGGUUCUAGGGCAGCGGGGGCAGGUGUGCCAAAAGUUAGCUCUGCACCCUCCCCAAAUUCACUCCAAUCCCCUUUUUCUGCUUAAUAUGCUACUACUUUCUGCCACUAUGCUUUCUGCUCCCUUCCUGAUCUGCCAAUGUGUUGUCUGCCCCCUCCCCAAUCUAUCAAGUGCCACACACACAGGAUGUGUGCCACUUGGACUACAAGUUGGCCACCCCUGUAAUGGGCCGGUAUUGGAUACAAGUGCCUUCAAGACUCUCCCGGUUUCUUACAGAGAUGUGCAGAACCUGGCAUUAGUCAGCUUUAUCUGGCAAGAAAAUUAGGGCCAAUUAUCCCAGAGAACAGAAUAUACAGAUAAAAAUGGAAAUGAAAUAAACAGAAUCCAGCAUCCCUAACCUUCCUUGGUUGGAGCCUUAAGUUUAGGACUGAUCCACAUUUGGGCACUGUGUGUUCCUGCACAAGAUCAUUGCUGCAUCUUGUGUCUCCAUCUAAUUCUUUCCAUUUUAAUUCUUGAACUGCCUCUUCCAUGCAUGUGAUUUAUACUCCUUCACCUUAACACUCACCCCUAUUUUGCCUUUCUGCAGUACCUCGUUCCUCAGGUCCAGCUCUCUCCCCCUUCAACACCUGCACUAUCAUUCUUUUCCACAGGUGGAAAUAAUCUGCUUCCCCAUUAUUCCUUUCCUGCUGUCCUUCCCUUCUGCCAGGUUCCUCCUAUUGCCUGGUUUUGAUUUUUCCUGGUUCUCUUUCUUUACAACACAGCUGGAAACAUUCUAAAAAGAAGGUACCUGGAGGAUGCUGUAUCCCCAAGCAAAGGGGAUCCGUGAGGGCAUUUUGUUGAAACCAGAGGAAGAAAAAAAACAAUAAAAAUAAUGGAACAAAAAAGCAGAAAAAAAACUGAACCUUGUUCCAGUGACAGCAAGCCAGAAUAAUUGCAUUAAAAUUAACCCAUUGGAGUAUGAUAAAACAGGUUCAACUUUCCAUCUAAAUAUUACCUAUCAACAGCAAAGCUGCAUCCAUGACUGCCGCACCAUUCAGCAUAGUAGCCAUCAAGAUAUCAUGACCAGGACAAUCCACAAAAGAGACGUGUCUGUUGCAUAAUAAGAAGAGAGAAAACCAGAAGCUGAUCAUUAACUGUAAACCAGAACUGAAUUCAUCAUUAAUAGGCAUAAUGAUUUAAAGCACAUGCAAAUAAUCUAUACACUUCUAGGAAUGUAGAAAGGUGCCUUUUGGAACUAUUGUACUAUUAACAUGAAUACUACUGAAAAUCAUCAACACAAUCUUUUGAGUAUAUUGCAUAGACUGCAAUAACUGGACUAUUUCAGGUUCUUGUCUGUAUUCAACAGAAGAAUCUUUAUUCCGUAACAUGGCAAGAACACAGCUGUAUGCUGCUUCACUGAUGAUAUUAAAAAUUCACCAAUGGUAAAGAAGAAGUAAAAGAAACUGGUGUGUUUAAUGAACUGUUUUGAGUGUUGGUCUUACAACUAUCAGAGCCCACCACAAAAGGAAAAAAAAAAACCUAUUUUAGAACAACUACAGAGGUAUGAAAUAUUUUGCAAGCACUCAUAACUAUCCUACUUAAAACACCACAGAUAAUCUUCUGCACCUUUUAGAUACUGACUCUGACAAUAUUACAUUAUUACAAUAUUGAUAAUAUUACAAUAUUGUCAUGUGAAGGCAGUUCCUUCACAGCAUCUGAUGAAGUAAACUGCUUCUUAUGAAAGUUUGUUAUACACCUCGGAUUUAGUCUAUAAGUUACAAAUUUACCCUGCCUUCUACCUGACUUCAGGCUAACAUGGCAACUACUUUUCAAUAUUACACUUUGACAAGAAUGACUGCCUCAUCUCCAAUUGUAUUCCUAAGACUCACUCCCAAGUUAAGUUGUAAGUGUUCACGAGUCCGAUUAAAAAGCCCUUAGGAUUUUGCAGUCUGUGGGGGAGAAGUUUAAGUGAUGCUCUACUCUGAAAAUAAACUUUAAAAAUAGGUCUAUGAAUUUCCAUGAUAACCAGUAUCUAAGUGAUUUUCAGAAUUCAGAUUACGAGUAUGAGAAACAACAUUUUAUUUAAAAGCCCUGCAAACAAGAUGGAACUGUAAAAUUAAUAUUAUGCUUUUUCAAGCAAGUAAAUUGUCACCAGUAGCAGAUUUUGCAAUUCAAAAGUAUGCCCUCAGCCACAUCUGUACAUCUUCAAGAUCUUUAAAAUACCUUAGGACUAAAGUGAUAGGUUUAUUAGAAAACUCUAAACAAAAGCCAUCUCAGUCAUUACAACUUAUUCAGUAAUCCCUGUCAAUUAUGAGAAAUUGAGAUUUGACUCCUCUCUCAACUGCACGGGUUCCAAAGAGUCAGCAGGAAUCAAAAGCAUAUGUAUUGCUUAGUAAACAAACACACCACAGACAUACAAAGAAUAAACAACACUGCCACUUAAUUAAACACUUUUAUAGGAUAGCAUCCAAUUUCAGGUUUUUAAUUGCUGUUUUAUAUCUCUCUCAACAGCAGGCAAAAGUGACCUAAGUUUAGGCCAGAGGCAGGCAGCUGUAGUGGCAGAGGGAGUGUAACCACUGCUGAAGCUCUUCACUGCUGAACACCAAAGCCUCACAUCCAUGAGCUAAAUCAAAUGGCUCUGUGGGCCACAGGUUGCCAAACCCAAUGUAGAAAAAACUACAAACAAGUCAAGAACAACUGAAAUCAUUCAAUCUACAUCAGCCACCUGACUAAUUUAAAGUUCCCUUUGGUCCCAGGAAUAUCUGUAGGGAACUCAUCUGGUGUGCUACUUCCACAAGACCGGUAACACUCUGGUCGGGAACAGCUGGGAUCCUCAAGUUUGUAGAUCUGGAAUAACAGAGAGAGAAACAGGCUUAGGUUACCAGUGGUCAGUCUCAUAUUUUUUCUCUCCCCCAAAAACAAUACCAGUUAAUAUGUCAAAACAACCAAACAAAGCAGAGUUUCUAGAUUUAUUGCAAUAACUAACCUUAGCAUUGGCAUAACCCAGCUUGAUAGUGAUAUUUCUUUCCAGUUCAUUUUUGAAUCGGACAGUAUGAACUCCAGAUAUAGCUUUGACUACAGUUGACUUUCCGUGAGCCACAUGGCCAAUUGUACCUAUAUAUUAAAAGCAAAUAUUUGUCAAUACAUAAUUGUUUAAUUUGUGCAACGUUCUGCUUCAAAUUACCUACAUAUGUAGACGGAGUACCUGUUAAACCUUCAAUAUCUAAAUUAAGAACCAAAUUUGUACAAGAUCACCCAUAGCCCCAUGAAACCAGCUGGUUCAGAGAUUUAAUUGUAAGCAUAUUUAGAUUUCUUAACCAGUUUGUUUGUUUUUUUAUACCAACAUAGGCCAUGAUCCUGAGAUAAGCUCUAUAUGGACACUCUGGGUACUUACUGUUCAAUGAUCAUUACAGAACCAGGACUAUAUGGAGCGAAAACGAGUUUCAAUUGAGGGAAACUCCAACUCCUACCUGAGACGCACUUCUUUGAGAGAAUAAGUCUCUCAUGCCUAAAACAUACACUACAACUACCUUUGAGCAAAUAAAUCCAUGGUGGAACUGUUAACAACAUACUACUUUACUUAAAGUACAAAGCUUAGAUUUUUAUUCAAUUUUCUAUAUUUCAUUGAAAAGUUUGGAUUUUAUCCAUAGCAUUUUUAAAUAAAACUCUGCAGCACUGUGUUAGUUCAAGAGUGUCAAAACCUGUCACAUCUAUAAUUAAAUGUUCUUUUUUACCUAUAUUAAUUGUAGCUUGUCUACUGAUGACUUCUGGUGAGAGAGGUGUCAGCUUGGUAACAUCCUGUAUGGGGCAAAAUUUCACAAUCUAUAAGCAAUGUACAUGUUUAGGUACAAGAUAAUAAAAAAAAUGUUCUGUUAAGGAAACCCAUCAAAAGUGUUUAAAAUAGUUCUAAUUGCUCACAGCAUUAGACUUCUGGAAGAGGUCAGAAAGGGAAUUUGUAAAAAUGCCUCUAUAAUUAACAUGUUAUUCAUGCAUAUAUAAUUAGAGAAAACAAAACUAGUAAAACUAAUGUAAAUUCACAGAUAGCUAUUUAUAAACAGUGGGGAGUUUCCCAAAUCCAUUUAUUCCCAUCUGUGUGGCAAAGGAAAGGCAUGUAAUGGAAAAAAAUCCUCUUAGAUUAACAAAGCUUUUUUAUUUUAUGGAGUGGUAUUUGAAACAGCCCUCCCCCCCCCC